rnacentral:rRNA from 1 species
GCCCAGCCGUAAACUUUUAUUUACACUCAAAUCGCCAGGGAACUACGAGCUAAGCUUAAAACCCAAAGGACUUGACGGUACCCCACAUCCCCCUAGAGGAGCCUGUCCUAUAAUCGAUAAUCCACGUUUAACCUCACCAUUUUUAGUUAAUCAGCCUGUAUACCUCCGUCGUCAGCUUACCCCGUGAGCGUCAAUUAGUGAGCUUAAUGUUAUUUCACCAAUACGUCAGGUCAAGGUGCAGCAAAUGAAAUGGAAAGAGAUGGGCUACACUUUCUAUAUUAGAAGAAACGAAAAACUAUUUAUGAAACCUAGUUAGAAGGCGGAUUUAGCAGUAAAAAGGAAUCAGCAUGUCCAUUUUAACCCGGCACUGGGGUGUGU